rnacentral:rRNA from 1 species
UGGGGAAUUUUGCACAAUGGGGGAAACCCUGAUGCAGCGACGCCGCGUGAUUUAGAAGGCCUUCGGGUUGUAAAAAUCUUUUCUAUGGGAAGAAAAUGACAGUACCAUAGGAAUAAGGACCGGCCAAUUACGUGCCAGCAGCCGCGGUAAUACGUAAGGUCCGAGCGUUGUCCGGAAUCAUUGGGCGUAAAGGGUACGUAGGCGGGUAAGCAAGUUAGAAGUGAAAUCCUAUAGCUCAACUAUAGUAAGCUUUUAAAACUGCUCAUCUUGAGGUAUGGAAGAGGAAGUGGAAUUCCUAGUGUAACGGUGAAAUGCGCAGAUAUUAGGAGGAAUACCGGUGGCGAAGGCGACUUUCUGGCCAUAACCUGACGCUGAGGUACGAAAGCGUGGGUAGCAAACAGG